GCGCGGAGCUGGGCGGGAGCAGCGCCCGGAGGAGCGGCCGCGGCGGAGGCGGAGAUGGCGCGGGCUUAGCUGGUGCUCCGGGAAAUAGAGAGUUGGGCAGAGUUCCCAUCCCGUGGAGCUUGCAGUCGGAAAAAUCCUCUACACACCAAGAAGGCUGGCAGAGUAGCAGUUGAUCCACAGUGGGAGCCCAGAGGGGGAAGGAAACAACUAGUAAGCCAUUCCAGAAGUGCUGUGUGGUAUUUGGAGAGCUGGGUAUCAGCUGCAGCACAGAUUUCCAGAGGUUUCAGCUGACUGAGGAGAGGGCUGUGGGCUCAGGUCUCACCCAGAUGAACCAGAUGCUCUUCAGUGUCUGAGUCCUCUAAUGAUCUCACAAUGAUACUAUGUCACUGAGACAACUUUCUCUGACUUCAUUAUUUACAUGCCAGCAUCACAAAAUUCUGGAAAAAUAAGGAGAGGGGGUUCUUCAGGACAGAGUUCCAUAUGUCCCAAGAUGACAACUUGCCAGUGUUCUCUGUGGCCACGGGGAUGAGGUGUCCACCAGAACAUCCCAUGGCAUUUCCAUGACUGCAACUGGAGGAAGCCUUAAGAACCUGAGCAUCUGCUUCAUGCUGUCUGGGCAGCUCAAAAAACUGCAGAGGGAAGGGAAUAAUCUCCCCCAGACCCUUGACAGCAUCACAUUUCCACCCCGUCACGGUGCCCGGUACGUGCAGCGCUGGCAGGAAGAGCUGGGGAAACUCCUGUUUGCUGGGCCAUGACCUGUGGAGCUGCAUGGUUUUAGGAAAUACCAGUUAAUGGAAUUGUCACCUUUAUGGACUCAUGCUCCAUUUCUCAACCUGUCUGGACUUUGGCCUCCAAAGGUUACCACAGCUAGUGAAGUAAUAUGAUUGAGUCUUUUUCGACAGAUUUAUGCAAGAUUUCUUCUCCAGCAAGUGUCACAUCUAGUCUAGUUCUGCAAAAGAGAAUAUUUCAAAGAUGCCAACUGUCAUCUAAACCCACUAAAUUGUUCUGUGGGGUUGAGAGGACUCAGGGCCAUCUCGGGCAAUGCUGAUUUACACUACCUGGAGCUGUUUCCCUGCUGCUUGAAAUACGGGCUCUGGUUAAUCACGAAAAAAAAGAAUAUCCCUGUCUCCCAGAAAGCACAUUUAAAAUGGAAUUUUCAUUAGUUACUCUGUAAUGAAAAGGCGAAAGGGUGUAUUUUAAGUGAAUCUGUCCAGAAUCUUGGAAGAAGGGGGGGUUAUUUGAAGGAAAACUACAACAGCCACACGCUAAACAGGAAAAAUUGGUCGAGUUCCAUUUAAGGCACGUACAUCCAUGUCAAGAUGAAUAUUUUCAAGGUUAUAGAAGGAUUUUGGAAUUAUAGAGGAUUCACUGCACAUGUAUCUGCUCCUUCUGCAUUUGAUACAAAGCACAAAUUAAUCAUCAUUAUUCUGCACUAAUAUAACACCUCUUAACCCUCAGCUUUCAGAAUAUUUCAAAUGAGCAAUGAAUUAAGCCUCAUGUGGGCUUGGGAAUAUGUGAUAAUCCAAAAUUGGAUUCUUUAAUAAAAAGCAUUUUCAAGGCCUUCAUUUUGGAAGUUAUAAACUUAUAAUUGUUCUUGAAAAUAUCUUCCUUUGUCACUCACUUGGAAAGAAACCAUGGGAGUACUAGAGAAGUGAGAUGAAAUGGAAAAAUGUAUUAAGCAAAAGUUAAUAAAUUUGUCUGUACUUAUUUUUGUUAUUUAUUGGAGCAAAAAGACCUGGGUAAAUUGAGGUGCUAAUGUGAUAUAGGUGUAAAAAAGGCAAAUUUGAUACUUGUCUGUAACUAAAAGAGUGCAGGGGGAAUCAUUAUUGCCCCUGUACAAGUCUCUUGCAAGCCAUCAUUUAAACAUUACACAGUAUGUCAGACUCUGAUCACUCACGCUCAGAAAAGAUGAAUUCUGACUGAAAGAAGUGAAGGAAAAACUAUUAGAUAAUCCACAACUUGCUGUUAUGAGAGAAAAUAAAUGAUUAAUAUUUAACUUGGCAAAACAAAUAAGGGACUUCAAUGGUGUCUACAAAUACAUUGUGGGAGGAGAACAAGUAUUAUACUAAAAGAAACUGUCAGUGUAUGACAAUAGGGAGGGCAGAAAUAAAUUUGUUUUUAAUGAACGGAGGAAUGGGAUUCUGGAACAGAAUCAGGUCCAUUUCUCUGGGCUUCAUUUUAGUGCUUUUCAGUUGAACAAAACAUUUGGGUAUCUCCCCAGUCACGGUGCCUUGUUUUAGGCCACUGAGCUAAUGUGAAACAGCUCGUUUGUGUCUCUGAACUUUACACUUUCCCUGCAUGGAGCGCUUCCCUGGCCAGAGUGGUGGCCCUGCGCUGGGAUUUGUCCCCACGGGCCAGGUCUGACUCAGAUUGGGAUGUGCACAUCUCAGAAAACAGAAAUUUAAAUCUCACUACACCGCAGACCUCCUGGGGAGCAAGGCAGAGCAUGAGGGCACACAUUCACACCAUGCUGUAAGAUGACUUGGAAUUACAGUCAG